UAAACCCGAGUGGAUGGAUGCCUG
rnacentral:piRNA from 1 species